rnacentral:rRNA from 1 species
AGUGAACGCUGGCGGUAGGCCUAACACAUGCAAGUCGAACGGCAGCACAGUAAGAGCUUGCUCUUACGGGUGGCGAGUGGCGGACGGGUGAGGAAUACAUCGGAAUCUACUUUUUCGUGGGGGAUAACGUAGGGAAACUUAUGCUAAUACCGCAUACGAUCUACGGGUGAAAGCAGGGGAUCUUCGGACCUUGCGCGAUUGAAUGAGCCGAUGUCGGAUUAGCUAGUUGGCGGGGUAAAGGCCCACCAAGGCGACGAUCCGUAGCUGGUCUGAGAGGAUGAUCAGCCACACUGGAACUGAGACACGGUCCAGACUCCUACGGGAGGCAGCAGUGGGGAAUAUUGGACAAUGGGCGCAAUCCUGAUCCACCCAUACCGCGUGGGUGAAGAAGGCCUUCGGGUUGUAAAGCCCUUUUGUUGGGAAAGAAAAGCAGCAGGUUAAUACCCCGCUGUUCUGACGGUACCCAAAGAAUAAGCACCGGCUAACUUCGUG